rnacentral:lncRNA from 1 species
CCCGGCAGUGAAGGUACAGCCUAAUUUAAUUGUGCAUUACUGUUAACAGAGUGGACUGGCAUAGAAUAAUUUUGUCUCCACAUUUUUGCGACUUGAGCUCGUCCUGAUUAAAAUUCAUAGUCCUACCCAGAUAAACUGAUAUCAGUCAGAUCUCAAAAUUGAAACUAAAGUUAGAAUACUCAAAGCCAACAUGAGCUGGGAUUGGCCAUGUGGACAGUGGAAGAGGCUGGACAAAAAUAUACUCUACUUGCGAUAGCAGCCCCCGAUGCACUAGGCUUCAAUGCCUUCUUGUUUGACCUUGUUUUACGAGCAAAUAAAUCCCCCGAUGAACUGGGCUUGAAUGCCCGCGUGCUUGCCCCCGGCAAGUGUGCAGCAAAAGAUUCAGCCUCCUGGAAUCAGCUGCUGCGUCAAAUUUGCUCGCUGUAAUCAAGGAAAAUGGCAACUAUUCCCCUUAUUAAUCUACCCACCCAGUUUUAAUUUCAGCGUCAAACAUAGUGGAUUGUGUUUUCCACAUAAUAUGUAAUUUCUGUUACUUCGACAGAAGAUUAAAAUCAGACCCAGCCAUCGCACCCCAUCUCAAAGUCAAAUUUAAGCUGGGAUUGGCCAUGUGGACAACUAAUCUCAGAGUCAUAUGCAAGCUGGAUGGAUGCAAACUUAACCACCUCAAGGCUUGAUUAAGUUGGUCAAGAAAUAAUGGUGGAAGACACCAAAUGGCAGGACAGAAAGUGCUAAUCUGUCCUCUAUCUUUACACCUAAUAUGUAAUUUAUCUCUCCACAUUUCCACAAAUUCAACAUGUCCCGGACUGAAGAUUAAAAUCAUACCCAGCUAAACUAAUUUCAAAGUCAGGACUUCAAAUUAAGUUAGUCAGGUUGUGUCGUCUUGUUACACACCCAGUUAAACUAAUCUCAAAGUUAAAUGCAAUCUGGAGGCGCAUGAAUGCAGAUCACCUUGAGGCUUUAAUUAUCUCCAACUAGCCUUUGGACCAUGGAAGAGACAACUAAUCUCAAAGUCAAAUUUAUGCUGGAGGCCAGCAUAUUCUACUGAUCAAUCAUCACUGUUUUCUAAUCAUCAGAGAUAUACUAUCUAGACUUAAGCAGUCUGUAUAUACUACCUCAAGUGUCUCUCCCUUCCUGCUGCGCCGACGGCCUCUGUGUGGAGGCCGACAUGGUCGCUGUCUCCCAUGAUCUCCCGACCAAGCCUGGCUGUGAAGGUACGGCCUAAUUUUAUUGUGCAUCGCUAACAUUAACAGAGUGAAUUGGCAUAGUAAUAAAUUUUGCCACGACAUUUUUGCCACUUGAGCUCAUCCUCGAUCAAACAAUUGAAACCAUACCCAGAUAAACUAAUUUCAACCCAUAUCAGGCCAUGUAAGGCCAAUAGUUGAGGUACCUGGAUCCAGACAAAACUCCAAACAUGCAAGAAUCUACCUCGAAGCAAGGUUUCUAUUGGUUAAUGCGUUCCACCCUAUUGAUGACAACUAAUGUUACUAAAAGCUUCCGGGAACUAGCAGACAAGCCAAUCAACAAGGAAAGCCUGUCAAGCAAGGAAGCCACCAAGAGUCAGAUCUCAAAACUGAAACAGAAGUUAGAAUACUCAAAGCCAACGUUAAUUGGGUUUGGCCAUUUUUUUUUUUGAUAAUUGUAUGCAUCUUCAAACAUGGCAGAACUAAGAACGCCAGAGGUAAUAAAAAGCACAAUCAAGUCUGUGGACCACCUAGCGACGGGUACAAACACUGGAGCAAGUCAGAGGGGUGCCACCGUCAUCGCCCCUUCCUCGCCGAAGCCGAGCAACCUUGUCGUAGUAGACAGUCGAAAAAUUGUCGUGCCAAGGUCCCUUAGGACCACCACAGCAAAGCAACCACCAUCACCGAUGAAGAAAGGUGUACGUCCGAAGGAUCAAACCUGUAAACACCCAAACAAAACCAGAUCCAAACAAAUCCACUGAAGAUCAACACCGACCGAAUCCCGCAAGAUCCGACGGACGCACACCUCCACACGCCCUCCAAAGACGUUAGACACACCAUUGGGACGGGAUAGAACAUGGGAGUUAUUAUUCAUAUUGAGGGACAUCAUCAAGACGUUUAACUGAAGAAGAACGAGAACGGGGUCUCUCCCGUCGGCGGGGGUUUGAUGUUCUCCACACCUUCCAUGGCCGAAAGGGCCGAAAGGCCAUUGGAGAUGGGACGGACCGGCGCCGAUGCCGAUGGGAGGAGGAGGAGGAAAGUCUGGGAUGUUUGAACACGAAAUUUGUAGAUCAACAUCGCACAAGUACUACCAUGUGUGGAAAAGUGUCCAGAUUUUUUGACGCAAAAUAAUUUUCUGUCCAGAUUCAUUCGAAAUUUAAAAUGUUAUCUUGUUUCAUAAAAAAAGGAAACAUUUUAUACCCUGAGUGACACUUGUGUAUAGUUAAUCCGCAAAGUUUCAAGGUAAAAUGUUAUCUUGUUUGAGAGAAACAAAAAGGCAAAAAUUCUAUAUAAUGAUAGCAUGAUUUUUGACGCAAACUGAAUGGUAUUGGUGCAGAGGGUAAAAAAAAUUAGAGCCAAUGACAAAUAGCGUCGAAACACAUAAAAUUGGUUGAAUACGCUUCCGUAUGGCGAAAGUGUACCGCGAAGGUGCGCUUCACUCGAGCACACUGUAAAAAAUCACUCCUGCUGGGCGCGAAGGUAGGGCGGCGGCGGCUUCCGAAGAUUAAAAAUCAUAGCCAGUUAAGCUAGCCUCAGGGUCAGAUCUCAAAAUUGGAACUGAAAUCAGAGUACCCAUGUGGAGAUUGGAGGAGGCAGGGCAAAAAUAUACUAAUACUACUUGAGAGUUGAGACGGCAGCCCCCGAUGCACUAGGCUUCAGUAGAUAUACUUGAGACGACGGACCCGAUGCACUAGGCUUCAAUGCUUGCCUGCUUCCCCCCGGAAGCAGUGCAGUAAAAGAUCCAGCCUCCUUGAAUCAGCUGCCGCGUCAAAUAUGCUCGCUGUAAUCAAGAAGCAAUACUUGUUUGUUUAACUUUAAUCAGGAGGAGAAGAAGGAAAAUGGCAACUUCACAUGAUGGAAUUGAUCCCCCUUAUUAAUCAACCUGCCCAAUUUUAUUGCCGUUAACAUAGUGGAUUGCAUUUUCCACAUAAUAUGUAAUUCAUGUUCCUUCCACCCAAGAUUAGAAUCGGAACCAGCCGUCCUGUUAGGCUGCUACCCAGCCAGCUAAACUAAUCACUCAAAGUCAAACACGACCUGGAUGCGUAUGAGUGCAGACCACCUCUUUGCUUAGUUAACUUGAUCCCCAACCCCAACUAGCCUUUGGACAAUGGAAGAGGCACCCCAUCCCCAUGUGGACAACUAAUCCUAAGAUUUAAAUUUAAGCUGUAUGGAAUAUGAAUGCGUCUGAAACUCUGAAUAAUGCAUACCACCUCCAGUCAGGUCCAGGCGUCCAGCCAUGUAGCUAAAUUACUUUGUUAGCAAGGACUCCGGCGCAUAAUUGUAGAUGGAGUCUUGUAGCUGUUUCCACAUAUAUAAUUGUAAUUUCUGUCCCCUCAACUGUAGAUUAAAAUCAGGCCGAGCUUGCGUUGCAUCUGUCAUAUAACUAAAAUUGGAAUAGUCAGGUUGUGCCGUCCUGUUUCACACCCAGUUAAACCAAUCUCAGAGUCAAAUGCUAGCUGGAUACGUAUGGAUGCCGACCACCUCCAAGCUUAAUUAAGCUGAUCGACAGCUAGCCUUCGGACCAUGGAAUGGAAGAGGCACCCCAUGUGGGCAAGACAACUAAUCUCAAAGUUAAAUGCAACCUGGAUGGAUGCAUAAUGCAAACCACAUCAAGGCUUAACUACUACUCCCUCCGUUCGGAAUUACUUGUCUCGGAAAUGGAUGUAUCUAGAACUAAAAUACGUCUAGAUACAUCCAUUUCUGCGACAAGUAAUUCCGAACGGAGGGAGUACCUGCCGACUGAUUAAUCAUCGCUCUUUUCUAAUCAUCAGAGAUUAUACUAUCUAGACUAAUGCGGUCAGUCUUCUAGCAUCUGUAUAUACCACGCAAUUGUGCAUAUACGAUGCUUGUUGGAUGCGCAAAAAAAAUCCUCUAGGCUUCAAUGCUUGCUUACCCCUUGCAACACUGUAGUAAAUUACUUGAUUGUUUAUUUAAUCAGCGUCGGGCAUGUAGCUAAAAUUUCUUUAUUAGGACUCCAGCAAACAUGAUGGUGCAGAGUCUUGUAAUGAAGAAGAAGAAAAAUGACAGCUUGAUAUAAGGCUUAUAGCUGGAAUCGAUUCCCCUUAUUAAUGAAACCUCUCUUAUCAGCUACUAGCUAGACUCACAUCUGCAAUUAGCACCACCACCUCCACAUCACAUCCAGGAAGCACAGCCAUGGAGGUGACGGCGGUGAGCGUGGGCAAGGCCGCCCUGGGCGGCGCACUGGGCUAUGCCAAGUCCAAGGCGGCGGAGGAAAUCGCCCUGCAGCUCGGUGUCGAGCGCGAUGUGUAUUUCAUCAAGGACGAGCUGCAGAUGAUGCAGUCGUUCCUGAUGACGGCUGAUGAGGAGCAAAGCCAGAACAAGGUGCUCACCACCUGGGUGAAACAGAUCGGGGUCCUGGCUUACAAAGUGGAGGACAGUCUGAUGGAUUUUGGCCUUCUCUCAGAGAAAAAGCCAUUUCUGGGGUGCAUCCCCCGCAACCCAGGUGAUCGACGCCGCAUCGCCAAGGAAGUGAAGGAGCUGAGAGCCAAGGUGGAAGACGUGAGCAACAGGAACCAGCGCUAUCGUCUCAUCAAGGAGAGCUCAGCCUCCAAGCCUUCAGCGACAGAGGAGCAAGCCAGCAUUGCUACUGCAUCAAUUUUUAGCACUAACGGAGCAGGGCUUGCCGCCUUGGAGCAUGGAAAAUCAUCAGUGGUGAACCUCCAGCAGCUGAUUACCAGCAACGAUGUGGACCUUAGGGUGAUUUCCGUGUGGGGAACUAGCGGUAAUCGUGGGAAGACGCCUGCCAUCCAGGAAGUUUAUGAUGACCCAAAGGUAUUGAAAAGGUUUGGAUUUUGUGCUUGGAUUAGUUUGAGAAGUCCUUUCAACCCACAGGAGUUCCUCCGGAGCUUGGUAAGGCAAUUUUAUGAAAAUUCCCAUGAUGAAGUUGGAAAGCCAGAACAAGAAACAAGUGUUGGGGCUAAUGUUCUGGCCAAGAUGGAGAAGAUGGAUCAAGGUGAUUUAGUCCGUGUGUUUAAUGCACAGUUGUGUAGCAAUAGCUACCUUGUUGUCAUUACCGACCUCUCCACAAUAGAAGAGUGGCAUUGCAUUAAGAAGUACUUUCCUGACAACAAGAGACAAAGUAGAAUCAUCGUUUCCACACAGCAAGAUGAAAUUGCAUGCUUGUGCACAGAGAAACCGUAUCAGAUGUCCAAGUUCAGGCAGUUGUCAUAUGAUCAAACUAUUUAUUUGUUCCACAAGAAGGUAAAUGUUUUUCCUGCAUGGUUUCUGUUAUUGACUUGUUAUUUUUAUAGAGAAGUAUUCCUGUGUCGGCGCUCUGGUGUCGUAUCCUUCCUGAAGGCGCCGCUUUGGAGCCCACGGUUCGUAUGCGGCUUCAUCUCUUCGCGGUGGUAGUGCUGGGGGUGGUGUUGCCGCGCUCAGCGCCGAUGUAUCUUGCCUUGGGUGUGUGCGUGUGUUGUGGUGGCGUGCGUUGUACUGGGAUGUGAAGAUCGUGCUUUAUAUAUAAAGCGGGGCGAAAACUUUUUUCGGUAGAUUUCUUAGUGGUCGCCUUUUUUGAAUUUAUUUUAGCUCUUCCGGUGAUAUGCGUUCAAUGAGAGGAGACGUUCACGUCGACGACCAAGACAUUUGUGGUGACUUUGUCAAUCUCAAGAUGUUGUGUUGGCUCAGUAUCUUGGAGGUGCUCAGUGAGGUAGAGUGUGCGUGCGUGUUCACAAGGUUGAGUGUAUGUGCAUGUAUGUAAGCAUCUGCAUUUGUACUGUGUUAAAAAAUUCUAUUAGGAAAAUCCUGUAAAAUUGACACUUUAUAGAGAAGUAUUCCUGUUAAGCAGUUGUUAGUAGAUUAAUUAUUUUUAGGAAAAAAUGUACUAAUAACAGCGUGACAAGAAUACCAUCUAUUUGAUGGUAUACAUAUUGUACUGCAUGAUAUGUUCACCGGUGGAUCCAUCUAUUUGUUGCUGUGUGAAUGUGUUAGAACCAGUUGUAGGAAAAAUCAUUGAUUCAAAGCGUAAUGAGGGUUUAGGAACUAACUAAUGAGUACAAGAUGAAGGCAAAUGUGAUAGUGCCACACAACUCUGUGUCCAUUGAAUAAUUUUGUUCUAAAAACGGAGAAAAUAAAUCUUUUUAUU